UUCAGCAGCCAGCUCAACCAAAUAAUUCUAUUUCUUAAAAACAAAUCAGAUUUCAGAAGCAUUUCAACGAGGAAGCGAGCAGCUUGUGCUGGUUGAGGCGGCGUGAACCGUGAACGUGAAGUGAGGCGGAGAGCAUAGCAGAAGAGUGAGGAGUCUGAUGAAUUUGAGUGAGGAGUCUCUGAGCUAGGGCUGAGAAAACAACGAGAAUGAAAA
rnacentral:lncRNA from 1 species